ACACCUCAACUCUCAUGGCUUGCCAUGAUGAGCUUGGACUUUGGAGGUUUUGCUGGCCCUGUGGUCGGCUCCUCCCAAAUGCAUCAGCUUGCCAGUGUUUGGUGGCAUCACAGGUGUGAUAACAUCUACGCUUGUGGUUGCCCGCCAAGUAAUCUUCAGCAAUGAAGGUUCACUGGGGCUUCAAAACGUCUCCGCAGAGACAGCUUCUUGAAC
rnacentral:misc_RNA from 1 species